UACGUAGGGUGCGAGCGUUGUUCGGAAUUAUUGGGCGUAAAGGGCGCGCAGGCGGGUUCGAAAGUCGUGUGUGAAAUCCCCGGGCUUAACCUGGGAAUUGCAUUCGAAACUUCGAAUCUUGAAUUCUCGAGAGGGUAGUGGAAUUCCCGGUGUAGAGGUGAAAUUCGUAGAUAUCGGGAGGAACACCAGAGGCGAAGGCGGCUACCUGGCGAGACAUUGACGCUGAGGCGCGAAAGCGUGGGGAGCAAACAGG
rnacentral:rRNA from 1 species